rnacentral:lncRNA from 1 species
UGUGGCUCUUAAUUAACUUUGUACUGACAGGCUUGUCCUCUGUGCUCAGCUGGACUUGCAUAUGUUUGCCAGUGUACUGAAAUACCUGCAUUCUCCAGGCCUGGACGCACUACUCUUUUUAGGUAUAUAUCAAACUUUCAGGUUGUGAACAGAGCUGGGAUCUCCAGCAGUCAACGGCUCAGAAAAUUGUAGAGAUCGCAUCUAAUUCCACUACUGAGUGUGAAUCUCCUUCUCUUUUAGGAUCUACCAAUACUGGUGAGGUUCCUUCUGUGAACUGGACAAUGGAAGCUGCCCCCAAUUCAUGGUCACUCUUCCCACUGGCGAACGUCCUAAGGAGGAGCUGUUUUUAGGUUGUGCCUGCUGAGAGUUGGAGGUGAAGAAGUGCACACCCACCCUUUGUGCCAUUCUUGCUGAGGACUUGUACAACAUUGUUGUUCAGGGCUGAACAGAUUUCCAGAUCUCCUUUUGGCAGCUGGAUAAGGAGGGAAUGCCACCGCAAAGGAGGGAUCGUCGAGGCGAGGUUGAAGUCGUACUCAAAGGCAGCAGCAGUGCUGUGCAUCGCACAUAUCACCACCGUGAUCGGUGAACUUCUCCCCUGGAGGGACUCUCAGACCUCUGUGAGUAGCAUCCAUGAUAACUAAAGCUGGGCCUGCAUACGGUUUUAAAAGUGAUAAAAAAUCCCACAAUUGAAAAUCACUUGUUUCAG